rnacentral:sRNA from 1 species
CACGGUACUUAUCCGUGGAAGAACGUGUCACUU